rnacentral:rRNA from 1 species
GUCGAGCGGUAGCACAGAGAGCUUGCUCUCGGGUGACGAGCGGCGGACGGGUGAGUAAUGUCUGGGAAACUGCCUGAUGGAGGGGGAUAACUACUGGAAACGGUAGCUAAUACCGCAUAACGUCGCAAGACCAAAGUGGGGGACCUUCGGGCCUCAUGCCAUCAGAUGUGCCCAGAUGGGAUUAGCUAGUAGGUGGGGUAACGGCUCACCUAGGCGACGAUCCCUAGCUGGUCUGAGAGGAUGACCAGCCACACUGGAACUGAGACACGGUCCAGACUCCUACGGGAGGCAGCAGUGGGGAAUAUUGCACAAUGGGCGCAAGCCUGAUGCAGCCAUGCCGCGUGUGUGAAGAAGGCCUUCGGGUUGUAAAGCACUUUCAGCGGGGAGGAAGGCGAUAAGGUUAAUAACCUUGUCGAUUGACGUUACCCGCAGAAGAAGCACCGGCUAACUCCGUGCCAGCAGCCGCGGUAAUACGGAGGGUGCAAGCGUUAAUCGGAAUUACUGGGCGUAAAGCGCACGCAGGCGGUCUGUCAAGUCGGAUGUGAAAUCCCCGGGCUCAACCUGGGAACUGCAUUCGAAACUGGC